GGGAUGGCUGCGUUGCGUAAUAAAAGAUUUUUGAAAAUGUGUGAUUGUUAAAAUACUGGUGAAUGUGUUUAAUACAGUCAUCCCACCUAUUCGGAACACCCACAAAUUCGGAACACUUUUGUGAUAAUUUGUCAAUAGCAUGCCAAAUGCAGCUUUUCUCUCGACCCCACUAUUUUUAGGACCUUUAUUUGGACAUUUUCUUGCUAUUUCACUUGUAAAAGUAGUACUUUUUGGACAAAAAAAAACUUCAUUUCAAGUCUAUUUUAUCCUGAGCAGCAAAAAAACUUCAUUUCAAGUCUAUUUUAUCCUGAGCAGCAAAACACUGCCUCCAAAUUGCCUGUUCCAUGAUUGCGGGAUGUUAUUGUGCCUCCCACAGUUGUGGAACACUUGAAUUUAACUGAUAUUUUCACAAAAAAAGUUAUCAGACCAUGGAUAAAACAUCACUAAGCUUGAGUUUCAUUGGUUGCAGUGUGUGAAGUCAUUAUUUUGUUACAAAUAUGUACUUCUGGAGAUAUCCAAUGUUUGUUCACAUCCGUAAGAAAAAAGUGUUCCGAAUUUGUGGAUUUCAAGGGUCAAAGUUUUUCUUCAAAAACUUGAUAUAACAGUUAAAAUUUGCAGUUGUUCGAUACAGCAUUCGAAAGAUCGCAAGAAAAGCUUUCAAAUGAAGGCAAAAGCGAAUCAUUGAGUUCAAUUAUCGAUUUGCUAUGAUUUUUGAACAUUGGCCAAUCUGUAAACUGUUGGGAUGAUUGUACAAUCCAAAAAAAUGGAUCAACUGCUCGUAAUUUCAAGUUUGUUUUUAACUAUUGUUUUUAUGUAAUAAAAUUGUUAUAUGUUAAAAAUAAUUUUAAUAAUUCAUGAAAAAAUCAAACCUUAUCUGUAUCAUUUUUAGUCCUUUCUGAUUUACUUUUCAAUAUCUUGCUUUGAAAUUUGACUUAAAUGUAAAAACACAUUUCAUAAAUAGUGUUUGGAUAUUUUUUAUUUCAAGCUGACCAAUAUUCUCAUGCAACAUUUUUAAUCUCGGGAAAAUGCUAUUUAUUUCACUUUGAGACUUUGACAGUUGGAACUGUUUUGCAAAUUCAGAGACAGCAGGUAACCUUCUAAUAAAACUCAAACGAUAAAACAAUAGCUGGCCGAAAAGGAAGAUGAACAUUGACCCAAACGCACUUAAUUGAAGAAUGUGGUUUGGUUUUGGUUUUGGCAAUAAUUUAUCAAAAUUCUGUUUUGUCAAAAAAAAAAACAAUGCAACGUUUUUAACUCUUGUGAACACUGGACAUCGUCCGGGAAGAAUCCCCAGCACCGGAGUAGCCGCGGCCGCCGGUCCACAUCCAGUCUGAUUCGUAAACAGACAUUUCCAAGAGUCCACAUCCAGUCUGAUUCGUAGACAGACAUUUCCAAGAGUCCACAUCCAGUCUGAUUCGUAAACGAACAUUUUCUUGAUGCAAUGCAUCCCGGUCCACAUCCAGUCUGAUUCGUAAACAGUCAUUUCCUAAAGGCCUUUCCAGUUCGAUUCGUAAACGAACAUUUCCUUGAUUCCUUUCCCCGGCCACAUUCAGUCUGAUUCGUAAACAGACAUUUCCAAGAGGCCUUUCCAGUUCGAUUCGUAAACGAACAUUUCCUUGAUUCCUUUCCCCGGCCACAUUCAGUCUGAUUCGUAAAUAGACAUUUCCAAGAGGCCUUUCCAGUUCGAUUCGUAAACGAACAUUUCCUACGGUCAGUCUGAAGCUUCAACAAGAAUCAAAGAAGUGCAUGGACCACGCGUACCGGUGGUAGCGAAGCAUGUUAGUAUUCGGACAUAGGCGAACCUGCCGCACACUCGCUCGAUACCGCGAUUUAGGCCGUGAAACCUCAAUCUUCUGUUAGCCCGUGUGCACAACCAAGUGACGAGUACGCGCCGAGGCCACCUAAGUACAAGGCUGUAUAUCAUAGGUACUCGCGAUCUUGCUUUGCAUUAGUGUGAGUGCAUAACUCCGUGCCACUAAAACCAAAACAAUAACAAAUGAACAAUGGACCGUGCCAGGAAAACCAAAACAUAAACAAUGUCAGUGUCAGUGGAGUGAGAGAGUCAGAGAUAACGAUUUUGACAACCGCACUACUACACACUCAAUCGCGAGUACCUUAGGUAGAAAGCCAUGACCUAUGUAGGCGAAGACCACGGGUAUGAAUCUUCAAGCAAUUUCAAUAUGGCGACUUGUAUCAGAAGAAAGUGAGGCAUUUUCGCUAGUUCUCACUGUUCUGUGUUCUGCGUGCACGUCCGCAAACAUCGACCACACACAUUCUAACACAAAGCACCACCAAGAGGCAAAAGGUGAUUACGAAUAUUUUUGGCAAUUUUGUUAAAAAAUGUGCGGUUUUGCAAAAACAAAUAACAAAACCAACUUUUAAGUGUAGUUUGACUGUCAAACUUGUAAUUCGUUGCUGAUUUGUUCGAAAAUUUGCUAAAAAUAAUAAAAAAAUUUGCAGCACCCCAUUUGGACGGACAUUUUUGUUGUCACCUUCUGGUUCCUUGGAUUAGCCAUGGAUAAUUUCACAGUGUAAUAAACAGGGCAGCUACCACCACGUGGCGCCACUGUUUCGAAUGAGAAAAUGAUACAGGUUUUUCAGACGAGUUUCAAUCCCGUGCGAAGACGCUGGUGUGCUCAACGGAUGACACUGACAGUACAUGCCCGAAUAACAGUCUCUUUCGUUCAACUCAACUGAUCGAGACGACCUGCUAUACCAAGCGUGAAUGCACGAACCACGUGAACCAGUGAUAGCGAAGCGUGUAUGCGGACAUAGGCGAACCUGCCGCACGCUCGCCCUGCAUCCUCUUGGUACGUUCGUUUGAUGGCUAGUUCCACACUGAGUGCCGCACUCAGAGCUGUCAAAGUGUUUCUUUGAAGAAACUCGCACUAGUUCCGCACGAGUUUCGCCGCCAUCUUGGAACUGAAACUCUAGUGCCGCACUCGAUAUUUUUUUCAGUUUCAUGCUAGUUCCACGUACACUGACAAGUAACGUUCGAUUGAACCAAAACUGGCACCGACUAGUGCGGCACUCAGUGCCGCACCGGCUCUUCAAACGAACGUACCAUCUGUUUGCACUUGUGCACACCCGAGUGAUGAGUACGUGCCGCUACCGAAGUAGGCGACGACACUGGUGCACUCAACGGAUGACAUUGGAAGUACAUGCUCGGAGAACUACACAUUACGCUAAAGUGUUUGUUUUUAAAUUCCAUAACAUCAAAGACUCGCCUUGCCGCAGUUUUCACCAAGUUUGCACCAAUGAAAUUUCCAGCUCACUUUCAGACCAGAAACUUUGUAAGCUUUACAAUUUUUCAAAUGUUACAAAAUUUCACUCUUCCAUUUCUUUUAAUAACAUUUAAACGCUCCCGGCUUACCAAAGGUUAACGAUGCUCACCCUGGUCAGUCAAGGGUUAACAAAUAACCUCCACCAGCUCCUCUUCCUCCUUGUCAAGCAAAACACACAAUCCAUCCGCGUGCUGGGGAUUUUCCAGGACUUGAUGCAGGCUUUAAAACUUACCGGCAGUGUUCCGGAAGUUAUUCCUCCUGGCAGAAUCGAUAAAUGUGAACACUGGACAUCGUCCGGGAAGAAUCCCCAGCACCGGAGUAGCCGCGGCCGCUGUUGCGGAGAGAAUGCGCUCGCUGACUGAGCGUCGGUCCAACAGCCAAACUGUCAUUUGGGCUCUAUUUACAGCGGUACACUGGGGUCCUAUACAACAAGCCCCAAGAAAUCGUUUCCUCUCCUUUGUUCUGCUGUUCGUAAAGCUUGUUUCUUGACCCCUAUCCUUCCGAUCAGCGUACUAGCCUGUAAACAUUUACUGACGUUUACAAACUCACAUUGACCCAAUUAUAUUGUUUUGCUUGAAAACCCCAUCCGACAGAUGAUUUGCUCCCGUUAGAUCCCGGGGGGAUGCUAAAGGCAGCCAUCUUGACGGUUGAGAUUGAUUUUGCGCGCAAACUGCGCACAGUAAAAACAAAAAUAUUUUUUAUUUAUAAUAAAAAAAUAACGUUCAUUCUAAAUUAGAAUAUUAAAAGUUAAAUUACACAGUAGUUAAGUUAAACAUUUCAUGAGCAUGAGAGAGAUCAGCCAUGAUUGCCCCUCCGUUGCUGAACAGAACCGUAAUAUCCUUUCAGCACUACUGAUCAUAGGCUUCGACGAUCUAGUGGUGUUUCCCUUAUCAACAGCAUUUAUGAAUGCGCUGAAAAGACAAAACACCAUGAUUGCUAAAGCUAGAUCAGUUGCGAAUAUGUAACAGUCAUUGGCAACCAACGACACCCGCCAUGUCAGUAGAUCUCAAUUGUAUGGGACGGGAAUGUUAGUUAGCGCACCACCACAGAAGAUGAUGAUGCGACCCAAAAUCAAAAAGUAUGUUGAAAGGUAUUAUAUAUUAUUCUCAGGGCAAGCAAUCGGAUGAGACAUUUCCCGUUUAUCGGUUGUUAAAUUUUAAAUGAAAUGGUUUAGUCUUAGACAGCCGGCUGUGGAAAGAUAGAACCAAAAUCAUUUGUAAUUAAAGAAUGAAGGAUUGAACAGUGCAAUUUAUAACUUGAGAUGAUUUUACGAGUUUUAAAUGAUUGAUGUUUAGUGAGGUACUGAUUAACGUUGCGAACGACAAGUUACAAUAUUUAUCAAGUUGAAAUGGUAUGAUAGGGUUUUGUUGUUGUUGCACACCGACGACGGUCGCGAAACAUCUAGCGACCCGACGAAAAGGCAUCGCAAAUCGGACUGGCUAGCUAUACAUUUCAUGUGAUAAAAGUUCAACAUUAAAUGAGGUCAUCAGCCAGAUCCCAACUAUAGUAGUUUAUUUUAGACAUAAAUUGAAAAAAAUCAUGGCAAAUAUAUACACUUGGCCUGGCCCCAUUUCCAAUGCUCUUUCGGGCAACCGCAUUUAAUUUUAGAUUAGAGCAAUUUUUUACCCGGGCUAAUACAAGGGUGCUCAAAACUGGUAUAACCUCGGGUAUAACUUAAAAAAAAAACACUUUUAAAUCAAUUUUGAGAAAGAUAUAUCUUUUGCCACGAGCAAGAGAGCACCAUACUUUCUUAGAGAAAGUUUUAGCGUUCAAGGUACUGUGUCAUGUUUUCAAUUGGUAGAAAAGAAAAUAAAAAAUGUUUUCCCAUACAAAAUUUAAAUGUGCUCGAGUGAUUUGGGGCACCCCAAACCACAAGUUACAAAAAGAGUGGAAUAGGGACAACCCCCGGGCAUCCGAGCCCCCUGAAUGAGAUCACAUAAGAGCAGUUCUCUACUAAAUAGGUCAAAAAAAUCAAACCAUCCACAUUAACGACCCCCGGGUCUUUUGUGGUCUCUAUUGCAAGUUUCUGCUCGAACCUAGGAGUCCGAAGGCUUGAAUGGGGAGAGCACCCAAACCUCUUUCUACUCCAAGGAACCUUCCACCCCAGUGUUUGAACUGACGACCUUUGGAUUGCGAGUCCAAUCGCCGCCAGCGAUUCCACCGGAGUAGGCUUGGUUUGGUGUGUUGUUUGUACUUAUGGCAUGGAGACGACUCCUACACCUGGAAUGACUUAACGGCCUAACAACCAAGGCCGGGACCGACAUUUUACUUCCUCAUCCGAUGGAAGGUUGGAGCAGAUGGGAAUCGAACCCAGAAUCAUCCGCUUACAAAGCGGACAGCGUAACCAUUCGGCCACGCACUGCUCCUAAA